rnacentral:rRNA from 1 species
AGAGUUUGAUCCUGGCUCAGGACGAACGCUGGCGGCAUGCCUAAUACAUGCAAGUCGAACGCGGCCAUCCGGUGCUUGCACUGGUGAAGCCGAGUGGCGAACGGGUGAGUAACACGUGAGAAACCUGCCCUGGAGUGGGGAAUAACUCGAAGAAAUUCGAGCUAAUACCGCAUACCUUCUCUUCACCGCAUGGUGAGUUGAAGAAAGAUUUAUCGCUCUAGGAGGGUCUCGCGGCCUAUCAGCUAGUUGGUGAGGUAAUGGCUCACCAAGGCAUCGACGGGUAGCUGGUCUGAGAGGAUGAUCAGCCACACUGGGACUGAGACACGGCCCAGACUCCUACGGGAGGCAGCAGUAGGGAAUCUUGCGCAAUGGGCGAAAGCCUGACGCAGCAAUGCCGCGUGCGGGACGAAGGCCCUAGGGUCGUAAACCGCUUUCAGUAGGGACGAAAAUGACGGUACCUGCAGAAGAAGCUCCGGCCAACUACGUGCCAGCAGCCGCGGUGAUACGUAGGGAGCAAGCGUUGUCCGGAAUUACUGGGCGUAAAGGGCUCGUAGGUGGUUGAGUAAGUCAGAUGUGAAAUCUCAGGGCCCAACCCUGAGCCUGCAUUUGAUACUGCUCUGACUAGAGUCCGGUAGGGGAGUGCGGAACUCCUGGUGUAGCGGUGAAAUGCGCAGAUAUCAGGAAGAACACCGACAGCGAAGGCAGCACUCUGGGCCGGUACUGACACUGAGGAGCGAAAGCAUGGGUAGCAAACAGGAUUAGAUACCCUGGUAGUCCAUGCCGUAAACGUUGGGCACUAGGUGUGGGGAGAACUCAACUCUCUCCGCGCCGUAGCUAACGCAUUAAGUGCCCCGCCUGGGGAGUACGGCCGCAAGGCUA